rnacentral:rRNA from 2 species
UACAGAGGUCUCAAGCGUUGUUCGGAUUCAUUGGGCGUAAAGGGUGCGCAGGCGGCGGGGCAAGUCGGACGUGAAAUCUCGGGGCUUAACCCCGAAACUGCGUUCGAUACUGCCCUGCUUGAGGACUGGAGAGGAGACUGGAAUUCCUGGUGUAGCAGUGAAAUGCGUAGAUAUCAGGAGGAACGCCAAUGGCGAAGGCAAGUCUCUGGACAGUUCCUGACGCUCAUGCACGAAGGCCAGGGGAGCAAACGGG